rnacentral:rRNA from 1 species
ACGCUCGACACCUACGGGAGGCAGCAGUGGGGAUAUUGCACAAUGGGGAAACCCUGAUGCAGCAACGCCGCGUGUGGGAAGAAGGUUUUCGGAUUGUAAACCACUGUUCUCAGGGACGAUAAUGACGGUACCUGAGGAGAAAGCUCCGGCUAACUACGUGCCAGUAGCCGCGGUAAUCUGAGCGGGCUGGCAAGGC